UACAGAGGUCUCAAGCGUUGUUCGGAUUCAUUGGGCGUAAAGGGUGCGUAGGUGGCGCCAUAAGUCGGGUGUGAAAUUUCGGAGCUUAACUCCGAAACUGCAUUCGAUACUGUGGUGCUUGAGGACUGGAGAGGAGACUGGAAUUCAUGGUGUAGCAGUGAAAUGCGUAGAUAUCAGGAGGAACACCGAUGGCGAAGGCAGGUCUCUGGGCUGACACUGACGCUCAUGCACGAAAGCGUGGGGGAGCAAACAGG
rnacentral:rRNA from 1 species